GGACUACCGGGGUUUCUAAUCCUGUUUGCUCCCCACGCUUUCGCACCUCAGCGUCAGUAUUGGCCCAGGUCGCCGCCUUCGCCACUGGUGUUCCUCCCGAUAUCUACGAAUUUCACCUCUACACCGGGAAUUCCACGACCCUCUUCCAUACUCAAGCCCGCCAGUUUCGAAUGCACUUCCUCGGUUGAGCCGAGGGAUUUCACACCCGACUUAACAGGCCGCCUACGUGCGCUUUACGCCCAAUGAUUCCGAGCAACGUUUGCACCCUCCGUAUUACCGCGGCGGCUGGCAC
rnacentral:rRNA from 1 species